rnacentral:misc_RNA from 1 species
GUAUGUUGGACUAUGAUCAUUCAAGUCUUGAUUUCAUUUGUAUCUUGGUUUCUAGUUUUAUCUCUGUACACCUUCUUCCCAACUACAAAUACUUCACUUCUUCUAUCAUUUUGCUGGUUAUUGUGUGACUAUUUUAUCAUUUGAACAACGAGAAUAUAAGACUGGCCUGGUGACCUGCCUUUUGGUGUUGUCUUUCUCUUACAUGUUCAGCAUUAUAUUGAGUGGAUCCAUGUUGGUGUUUGCACUUUGCAGCUGAUCUUUUCUUUUGAGGAUGUUCGCUAUGAUCACUUUUUU